GGGCCCUUAGCUCAGUUGGUUAGAGCGGUGGACUCUUAAUCCACGCGUCGGGGGUUCGAAUCCCUCAGGGCCCA
rnacentral:tRNA from 1 species